AGAGUUUGAUCAUGGCUCAGAACGAACGCUGGCGGCAGGCUUAACACAUGCAAGUCGAGCGCCCCGCAAGGGGAGCGGCAGACGGGUGAGUAACGCGUGGGAAUCUACCCUUUUCUACGGAAUAACGCAGGGAAACUUGUGCUAAUACCGUAUACGCCCUUCGGGGGAAAGAUUUAUCGGGAAAGGAUGAGCCCGCGUUGGAUUAGCUAGUUGGUGGGGUAAAGGCCUACCAAGGCGACGAUCCAUAGCUGGUCUGAGAGGAUGAUCAGCCACAUUGGGACUGAGACACGGCCCAAACUCCUACGGGAGGCAGCAGUGGGGAAUAUUGGACAAUGGGCGCAAGCCUGAUCCAGCCAUGCCGCGUGAGUGAUGAAGGCCCUAGGGUUGUAAAGCUCUUUCACCGGUGAAGAUAAUGACGGUAACCGGAGAAGAAGCCCCGGCUAACUUCGUGCCAGCAGCCGCGGUA
rnacentral:rRNA from 1 species